AGGCAUGCAAGUCGUACGGGGCCUUUUGGGUAGUAAUACUUGGGAGGUUUAGUGGCGAACGGGUGAGUAAUGCAUGGGUAACGUACCCCGGACACAGGGAUAGCGGCGGGCUUCGGCCCUUUAGCGAAAGUGCCGGUAACACCUGAUAAUGUCCGAGAACUUCCUGGUUUUCGGAUCAAAAGUGGGGACCCCUCGGGGCCUACUAGUCUGGGAUCGGCCCAUGUCCUAUCAGCUUGUUGGUGGGGUAAUGGCCUACCAAGGCGGUGACGGGUAGCCGGCGUGAGAGCGCGACCGGCCACAUCGGGACUGAGACACUGCCCGGACACCUACGGGUGGCUGCAGCAACGAAUAUUCCGCAAUGGACGCAAGUCUGACGGAGCGACGCCGCGUGAAGGAUGAAGUCCCUCGGGAUGUAAACUUCAAUAGUUUGUCAGGAAGAGAUGGGGCCUAAUACGUCCCUGAUUUGACCACCAAACGAAAGGGGUGGCUAACUCCGUGCCAGCAGCCGCGGUAAUACGGAGACCCCUAGCGUUGUUCGGAAUUACUGGGCUUAAAGCGGGUGUAGGCGGAACGGUAAGUAUCUUGUGAAAGCCCCGGGCUCAACCCGGGAAUUGCUCGAUAUACUGCCGUUCUUGAGGCAGGUAGGAGUCACUGGAACCUUAGGUGGAGCGGUGAAAUGCGUAGAUAUCUAAGGGAAUGCCUGUGGCGAAAGCGGGUGACUGGGCCUGUCCUGACGCUGAGACCCGAAAGCGUAGGUAGCGAACGGGAUUAGAUACCCCGGUAGUCUACGCCGUAAACGAUGCGCACUAGGUUCGAGAGCUCUGACGGCUUUCGUGCCGAAACAAAAGCGUGAAGUGCGCCGCCUGGGGAGUACGGCC
rnacentral:rRNA from 1 species